GACAGAGGCCUCGAGCGUUAGUCGGAAUCACUGGGCUUAAAGCGUGUGUAGGCGGAUCGUUAAGUACCUUGUGAAAUCCCACGGCUCAACCGUGGAACGGCUGGGUAUACUGGCGGUCUUGGGCCAUUCAGGGGCGACUGGAACAAGCGGUGGAGCGGUGAAAUGCGUAGAUAUCGCUUGGAACGCCGAAGGUGAAAACAGGUCGCUGGGGAUGUGCCGACGCUGAGACACGAAAGCCAGGGGAGCAAACGGG
rnacentral:rRNA from 1 species